rfam:Candidatus Nomurabacteria bacterium RIFCSPLOWO2_01_FTLL_36_10b rifcsplowo2_01_scaffold_7162, whole genome shotgun sequence.
CUAAUAGGAGACAAGAGCAUAUGGUGGAUGCCUAGGUUUGAAAUGGCGAUGAAGGACGUGGACAAUCUGCGAUAAGUCUCGGGGAGCCGAUUCUCAGGCUUUGAUCCGGGAAUUUCCUAAUGGGGGAACCCCUCUGCUUUUAUAGGCAGAGAUCCGACAGGGAUAACUUCUGUUGGAGGCGCACCUGGGGAAGUAAAACAUUUCAGUACCCAUAGGAAAAGAGACCAAAUAAGGAAUUUCCUUAGUAGCGGCGAGCGAAACGGAACCAGCCCAAACCCUCCUUCGCUUUGUGCUUCGCACAAAGCUUCGGAGGGCGCAGCCUUAUAUACAAGGGGCCGUGCCCUCCCGAAGCUCGUAGCGGAGCGUAGAGCGAAGGAGGGGGUUAUAAGACAAUAGACAUCAUAUGAUGCGCGAUGGGCUUGACUCAUUUAACGAGUCGAGCAUGUCGUGCAGACAGGAUGAGCGAGGUUACAAAUCGUGAGGAUAGGAGAAAGUGCUGGAAAAGCACUAUCAGAGAGGGUGAUAAUCCCGUAUCCGAAAUCUGAACGACCUUUUUUAUUGCUCUUGAGUACUUCGAGACAUGAAUAGCUCGGAGGAAUUUGCCAGUACUCACUGGUAAGGCUACAUACAUUUCAAAACCGAUAGUGAACAAGUACCGUGAGGGAAAGGUGAAAAGAACCCCGGCAAGGGGAGUGAAAUAGAACUGAAACCAUAUGUUUACAAAGAGUCGAAGUCGCGUCUGACGCGACGACGGCGUGCCUAUUGAAGAAUGAGCCAACGAGUGUAUCGAUACUGCUCGGCUAAGGUGUUACGCACCGUAGUCACAGCGAAAGCGAGUGUGAUAAGCGCGACCAAUGUAGUAUCUAUACGACCCGAAGCAGAGUGAUCUUACCAUGAGCAGGAUGAAGUUCGCCGAAAGGCGAAUGGAGGUCCGAACCGGGGCGCCGUACGAAACGCUCGGAUGACUUGUGGUAGGGAGUGAAAAGCUAAUCGAACUCUGUAAUAGCUGGUUCUCUCCGAAACAGCUUUUGGGUUGGCGUCAUGAGUUCCCACUGGGGGUAGAGCACUGGAUAGUAUCGGAUAGCGGGAAACCGCGCCGAGCUUAUCAAACUCCGAAUACCAGUGGCCAUAUCAUGGCAGUUAGUCUAUGGGCGCGAAGGUCCAUUAGACAAAAGGGAAACAGCCCAGAUCGCCAAAUAAGGUCCCUAAAUCUAUGUUAAGUGCAAGUAAGGAGGUGAAGUUUCUCCGACAAUCAGGAGGUUGGCUUAGAAGCAGCCACCCUUUAAAGAUAGCGUAACAGCUCACUGAUCAAGAGACUCUGCACCGCUAAUAAUCGGGGCUCAAACAUAGUACCGAAUUUGCGGGUUUUCUUGCCCUCGGGCAAGGAAGCGGUAGGAGAGCGUUGUCAUCUGCGUUGAAGCUGAAGGGGUAACCCACAGUGGAGCGUUGACAAGUGAGAAUGUUGGCACAAGUAACCACAACACAGGUAAAAUCCCUGUGCGCCGAAAUCCCAAGGUUUCCCGGGCUACGUUGAUCGACCCGGGGUUAGUCGGUCCUAAGGUCAUGGUGACAAACCGCAGCCGAUGGACACACGGUUAAUAUUCCGUGACGUGUAUCUAUGUCUAUGGGGUGACGGAGGAAAUAAUUAUGCGCGUCUUAUUGGAUUGACGUACGUGUCCGAAGAUAGGAAUUCUAGGUAAAUCCGGAAUUCACAUACUAUCAAGGAAGCGUGGAAGUUUGUCGCAAGACAGACGAACGCAUAUGAAUAGCCUCCCAAGAAAAACCUCUAAGAUUACGUAGGUACACACCGUACCGCAAACCGACACAGGUGGGAAGGUCGAGAAGACCAAGGCGAACGAGUGAGAGGUCCUCAAGGAACUCGGCAAAAAAGCAGCCGUAACUUCGGGAUAAGGCUUGCCACGCUUAGCGUGGCUGCAACAAAAGUUUCUCUGGCGACUGUUUAUCAAAAACACAGCUCCCUGCGAACUCGUAAGAGGAUGUAUAGGGGGUGACACCUGACCAAUGCCAGAAGGUCAAAUAUGGAUGGUUUAUGCUUUGCUUGCAAAGCAUAGGCUGAGCUAUAUAAGCCCUGGUGAAUGUCGGCCGUAACUAUAACGGUCCUAAGGUUCUGUUUCUCUUAGCAAUAAGGGAAACAGAUAGACUGGGACUGUUGUAGGAUGAAGAUAAACAAAUAAAAUUACACAACGCUGCCUAUCAGUUGUAAUAACUGAUGUCAUAAAAUAUCUGACCAUAUGCUGGGAUAUCUGGUGAAUCGAGCGCUACUUUUUGCUAUAAUUACCAUUAUGACAAAGAGUAACAAUGCGACUCGUGCAGACAAUCAGCAGGAAAGACUGAUUAAAAUAGGAUGGAUAACUGGUUUUGUAGAUGGAGAAGGAUGUUUUACCAUUCAUUUUGUAAAACAGCAUGACCAUCAGGAACCAACAAGAAUUCGAAGAGGCUAUACCACCGGCUAUCUCAAAUUGCGCACAACUUUACGGUUGUGCAAGGUGCAAGAAGUCUGGAUAGUCUGCAAAAAAUAAAAGAUUUUUUCCAAGUUGGGAACAUUCAUAUCAAUCGAAGGCAUGAUAAUCACAAGGAAGACCUCUAUCAUUAUGUAGUAACAAAACGAAAAGAUCUUCUCGAAGUAAUUAUCCCUUUCUUUCGGAUCUAUGAGUUACAAACAGCAAAGAAAAAAGAUUUCGAAUUGUUUGCACAAUGUCUCGAACUCAUGAAAGAUGAUAAACAUCUCACGCAUGUGGGUGCUAUUGAAAUAGCAUUGAUGUGUGAAAAGAUGAAUCAUCAAAAAUCCAGAACUGAAUUGAUCAGAAUCCUCAGAGACCAAAUGUCAGACUCUCUGUAGAAGAGAGAAGAUAGAGUCCUAACUGCAUAGCGAUAUGCAGCCAUGCGUAGUGCACAUGGACAUUGACAAAUUAAAUUUUGUUAUGUAAAGCAAUAAGCGAAAUACCUUGUCGGGUAGGAAACUGCCCAUCCGAAGAGUGAUUUUCGGAUUAAAUCUGGCUUAUAACGGUGGAGCCCUUUGCAAAAAUGCGCGCAAAAGGGGAAUACCGUGGGAAGUCUUCCAUUUUUAAUGGAAUGACCCCGUAACGACUUAGGUCACCUAUAUAUAGUGGCGACCUGGAUAGAUUAUUGGUAUAAUCUAUAAUAUGCCAGCUCUCAAAAAUAAACGUAAUAUAUAUGAGUAUAUUUCAGGAUAUGUAGAUGGGGAAGGAUGUUUUAGUAUUUCUUUUUCUAAACGAGAAAAAUUUCUCGUUGGUUGGGAAACAAAACCAAGUUUCUCUGUUAGCCAAAAUGGAGGCAGAGCGCAAAUCCUUUUCAUCAUGAAAAAAGUUUUCAAAUGUGGCUUUAUACGACGAGAUUAUUCAGACAAAACACUAAAAUAUGAGGUGCGAAGUCUUAGUGAUCUGGUAAGUUUUAUUAUUCCACAUUUUAAUAGAUAUCCUUUGGUUUCAGCAAAACAAAAAGAUUUCGAGUUUUUCAAAAAAGUUUGUUUCUUUAUGCAAAUAGAGAUGCAUAAGAAUAAGAAAGGAUUGAAUAAAAUUAUGAAUCUGGCGUUUAGAAUGAAUCCAAGCGGGAAAAGGAAGUAUACAAAAGCAGAAAUGCAAAAAACGUUGAGAUGAAGAUAUAGUCUAAUCCCUCUCGUAAGAGAGGAAAGUAAAAUGAAGUUCCGACGCGCACGAAUGGUGUAACGACUGGGGAACUGUCUCGAGGACUCGCUCGGUGAAAAUACAGUACCGGUGAAGAUGCCGGUUACCUGCAGUUAGACGAAAAGACCCCGGAAGCUUUACUACAGCUUCGUAUUGGCUAUGUUGAUUUUGUGCGCAGAAUAGGUGGGAGGCUUUGAUCUAUGGAUUCUGGUUUAUAGUGAGCCGACAGUGAAAUACCAUCCUCAAAAUUGGCUUAGUCUAACCUCAGCGGAAAAAACGCAGAGGGACCGUGCGUGGUAGGUAGUUUGAGUGGGGCGCUUUCCUCCCAAAAAGUAACGGAGGAGCCUACUAAGGUCCGUUAGACGCGUAUGGAAAACGUGUCGAUAGUGUAAAGGCAUAAACGGGCUUGACUGCAAGGGGGCCAUCCCAAGCAGGUGCGAAAGCAGAGCUUAAUGAACCGACUGUCACCAUGAGAUGGUGCAGGAGAUUAUCGGACAAAAGCUACUCCGGGGAUAACAGGCUAGUGUUGCCCUAGCGUCCAUAGCGACGGCAGCGUUCGGCACCUCGAUGUCGACUCAUCACAUCCUGGGGCUGGAGAAGGUCCCAAGGGUUUGGCUGUUCGCCAAUUAAAGUGGUACGUGAGUUGGGUUCAGACCGUUGAGCAGUGAAUAUUUAUCCACUGUUCAACCCGUCUGAAUCCUCUCUGAAAACGACAAUGUUAUUCUCGUUCACUCCGCAAUGGCGGAGGAACAUUAGGAAAAUUUUUAAAAUCAGGUUAUUUCGUUUAAUAAGAUAUAAAAGCAGAUAGAGACAAUCAUUACGGCGGUCUCAUACAGUAAUGUAUGAUGACAUGCUCAACUUAUAUCGGUGGAAUCCUUAGAAUUUCUACGCCAAUAGCGGAGAAGAAAAAAGGACAACCCCGAGGGAAAUAUUUUUUCUUUUUAAGAAAAGAAAUAUACCCGUAGAGACUGAAUGUUGAGCUCCUACUUUGUAGGAUGAAGUUACAGUCCAAUGCACACAGUAAUGUGUGAGAACAUGCGUAAGACAGGUUGGUCUCCUAUCUACUGCAGGCGUUGAUACUUGAGGAAAGCUGCCCCUAGUACGAGAGGACCGGGGUGGACCGACCACUGGUCUAUCGGCUGUCACGCCCGUGGCACCGCCGAGUAGCUAUGUCGGGAAUGGAUAACCUCUGAAAGCAUCUAAGAGGGAAGCCAGUUCCAAGAUUAGGUAUCGUUAUGAGGUCCCUGAGAGAUUAUCAGGUUGAUAGGCAUUAGGUGAAAGUGCAGUAAUGCAUUGAGCCGAGAUGUACUAAUUGACCCAGACCUAUUAGGA